rnacentral:rRNA from 1 species
AGAGUUUGAUCCUGGCUCAGGAUGAACGCUGGCGGCAUGCCUAAUACAUGCAAGUCGAACGAGAGGAAGGAAAGCUUGCUUUUCUGAAUCUAGUGGCGAACGGGUGAGUAACACGUAGGUAACCUGCCCAUGUGCCCGGGAUAACUUCUGGAAACGGAUGCUAAAACCGGAUAGGUAGCAGACAAGCAUUUGACUGCUAUUAAAGUGGCCUUGGCCAUGAACAUGGAUGGACCUGCGGUGCAUUAGCUGGUUGGUGAGGUAACGGCCCACCAAGGCGACGAUGCAUAGCCGGCCUGAGAGGGCGGACGGCCACAUUGGGACUGAGACACGGCCCAAACUCCUACGGGAGGCAGCAGUAGGGAAUUUUCGUCAAUGGGGGGAACCCUGAACGAGCAAUGCCGCGUGAGUGAGGAAGGUCUUCGGAUCGUAAAGCUCUGUUGUAAGAGAAAAACGGCACUCAUAGGGAAUGAUGAGUGAGUGAUGGUAUCUUACCAGAAAGUCACGGCUAACUACGUGCCAGCAGCCGCGGUAAUACGUAGGUGGCGAGCGUUAUCCGGAAUGAUUGGGCGUAAAGGGUGCGUAGGUGGCAGAUCAAGUCUGGAGUAAAAGGUAUGGGCUCAACCCGUACUGGCUCUGGAAACUGAUCAGCUAGAGAACAGAAGAGGACGGCGGAACUCCAUGUGUAGCGGUAAAAUGCGUAGAUAUAUGGAAGAACACCGGUGGCGAAGGCGGCCGUCUGGUCUGGAUUCUGACACUGAAGCACGAAAGCGUGGGGAGCAAAUAGGAUUAGAUACCCUAGUAGUCCACGCCGUAAACGAUGAG